rnacentral:rRNA from 1 species
AGUGAACGCUGGCGGUAGGCCUAACACAUGCAAGUCGAACGGCAGCACAGUAAGAGCUUGCUCUUACGGGUGGCGAGUGGCGGACGGGUGAGGAAUACAUCGGAAUCUACUUUUUCGUGGGGGAUAACGUAGGGAAACUUACGCUAAUACCGCAUACGACCUACGGGUGAAAGCAGGGGAUCUUCGGACCUUGCGCGAUUGAAUGAGCCGAUGUCGGAUUAGCUAGUUGGCGGGGUAAAGGCCCACCAAGGCGACGACCCGUAGCUGGUCUGAGAGGAUGAUCAGCCACACUGGAACUGAGACACGGUCCAGACUCCUACGGGAGGCAGCAGUGGGGAAUAUUGGACAAUGGGCGCAAGCCUGAUCCAGCCAUACCGCGUGGGUGAAGAAGGCCUUCGGGUUGUAAAGCCCUUUUGUUGGGAAAGAAAAGCAGCAGGUUAAUACCCCGCUGUUCUGACGGUACCCAAAGAAUAAGCACCGGCCAACUUCGUG